CUCUGCCUUUCUCUGAAUCUCAGGGUUUCCUGGGCAUGGGAUCAUAAUUUCUAUCCCCUGAUGCCUGGGUGCCAUGGGGACCAUGGAGGCCAUGGGGUGGGAAGGCCAGGUAUUGCCAUGCUCACAGAAUGAGUUUGGGGGUCUCCUCUGGUUCUGAGGCCUCCAUCCUCCCUUGUCCUUGUGGGUGCAGCCCCGCUUCCCUCUCUGUGCCCCGUGGGUGCCCUAGGUGCCUAGGAGGCUGGCACGUCUGGGCACCGUGCUUCCCCAGGCCCUUCUCUCUGCAGCCUGGGCUCUGAGCAGAGCUUCCGGAUUCACUUCUCCAGAGAAGACCAGGCUGGGAAGACACUCAGGCUGAGUGAGUGCAGCUUCCGGCCAGAGCACGUGUCCAGGCUGGCCACCGGCUUGAGCCAGUCCCUGCAGCUGACGGAGCUCACGUGAGUGACCCACCCAGCCCGUGAGGACAGCAGAGGGGUGGGGGCACCCUGCCAGAGCCACCUCAGUGACUGACCUCUGUCCCCAGGCUGACCCAGUGCUGCCUGGGCCAGAAGCAGCUGGCCAUCCUCCUGAGCUUGGUGGGGCGACCCGCAGGGCUGUUCAGCCUCAGGUACCUCCUCCCCCGCUGCCUCCGGGAGGGGCCAUGGCAUGAAUGGGAGCAGGGGUGGGCACUGGAGUAACAGGCCCCCAGGAUCAUGGCCCCAGUCAUCUCCUGUACCCACAACCCUGCCAUCUGGACCCUGAGCAAACCCUGUCCAUCUGUCCCAGAGACUCCACAAGGCACACAGAGAAACUGUCCUUCCCCAGACUGGAGGCCUGUGCUUUGGGAUUUAAAAAAAAAAGAAAGAAAGAAAGAAAGAAAGAAAGAAGGUUUCAGAGGAUACUGAACUGAGGACAAAAAUAAACUGAAAUGAAGUUCUU
rnacentral:sRNA from 1 species